rnacentral:rRNA from 1 species
AUUGAACGCUGGCGGCAGGCCUAACACAUGCAAGUCGAGCGAGCGGCGGACGGGUGAGUAAUGUAUGGGGACUGCCCGAUAGAGGGGGAUAACUACUGGAAACGGUAUCUAAUACCGCAUACUAUCGGAUUAACCAUAUGGGAUUAGCUAGUAGGUGGGGUAAUGGCUCACCUAGGCGACCCUCCCUAGCUGGUCUGAAAGGAUGAUCAGCCACAAUGGGACUGAGACAAGGCCCAUACUGCGACGGAGGCAGCAGGGGGGAAUAUGGCACAAUGGGCGGAAGCCUUAUGCAGCAAUGCCGCGUGUAUGAAGAAGGCCGUAGGGUUGUAAAGUACUUUCAGUCGGGAGGCGUUACCGGCAGAAGAAGCACCGGCUAACUCCGUGCCAGCAGCCGCGGUAAUAC